AGGCACUACGGUGCUGAAGUAACAAAUGCCCUGCUUCCAGGAAAAGCCUCUAAGCAUCAGGUAACAUCAAAUCGUACCCCAAACCGACACAGGUGGUCAGGUAGAGAAUACCAAGGCGCUUGAGAGAACUCGGGUGAAGGAACUAGGCAAAAUGGUGCCGUAACUUCGGGAGAAGGCACGCUGGUGUGUAGGUGAAGUCCCUGCGGAUGGAGCUGAGACCAGUCGAAGAUACCAGCUGGCUGCAACUGUUUAUUAAAAACACAGCAC
rnacentral:rRNA from 1 species